CAAUAGCGUAUAUUAAAGUUGUUGCAGUUAAAAAGCUCGUAGUUGGAUUUCUGGUGGGAGCGAUCGGUCUGGCGCUUAGCGCGAGUACUUGCAUCGUCUCCGGCCAUCCUUGGGGAGAGGCUGUCUGGCAUUAAGUUGUCGGGCAGAGGAUCCUCAUCGUUUACUGUGAAAAAAUUAGAGUGUUCAAAGCAGGCUUAUGCCGUUGAAUAUAUUAGCAUGGAAUAAUAAGAUAGGACUUUGGUACUAUUUUGUUGGUUUGCGCACCAAAGUAAUGAUUAAUAGGGACAGUUGGGGGUAUUCGUAUUCCGUUGUCAGAGGUGAAAUUCUUGGAUUUACGGAAGACGAACUACUGCGAAAGCAUUUACCAAGGAUGUUUUCAUUAA
rnacentral:rRNA from 1 species